AUUGAACGCUGGCGGCAUGCUUUACACAUGCAAGUCGAACGGUAACAGGCCGCAAGGUGCUGACGAGUGGCGAACGGGUGAGUAAUGCAUCGGAACGUGCCCAGUCGUGGGGGAUAACUACUCGAAAGAGUAGCUAAUACCGCAUACGAUCUAUGGAUGAAAGCGGGGGACCGUAAGGCCUCGCGCGAUUGGAGCGGCCGAUGUCAGAUUAGGUAGUUGGUGGGGUAAAGGCUCACCAAGCCAACGAUCUGUAGCUGGUCUGAGAGGACGACCAGCCACACUGGGACUGAGACACGGCCCAGACUCCUACGGGAGGCAGCAGUGGGGAAUUUUGGACAAUGGGCGCAAGCCUGAUCCAGCAAUGCCGCGUGCAGGAAGAAGGCCUUCGGGUUGUAAACUGCUUUUGUACGGAACGAAACGGCUCGGGUUAAUACCCGGGGCUAAUGACGGUACCGUAAGAAUAAGCACCGGCUAACUACGUG
rnacentral:rRNA from 1 species